rnacentral:rRNA from 1 species
UACGUAGGGGGCAAGCGUUGUCCGGAUUUAUUGGGCGUAAAGAGCGUGUAGGCGGCUAGGUAGGUCCGUUGUGAAAACUCGAGGCUCAACCUCGAGACGUCGAUGGAAACCAUCUAGCUAGAGUCCGGAAGAGGAGAGUGGAAUUCCUGGUGUAGCGGUGAAAUGCGUAGAGAUCGGAAGGAACGUCGAUGGCGAAGGCAGCCACCUGGCAUAAUACUGACGCUGAGGCGCGAGAGCGUGGGGAGCGAACAGG